UAGGAGGCCUUUUCCUGAGAGAUCUGCAGAACAUUUAGUGUAACAACAACAACAACAAUAAUAUUUCCAGUUACAGGGAUGCCUGGGUGGCUCAGUGGUUGAAUGUCUGUCUUUGGCUCAGGUCCUGAUCCUGGGGUCCUGGGAUUGAGUCUCACAUCAGGCUCCCUAUGAGAAGCCUGCUUCUCCCUUUGCCUCUCUCUCUGUGUGUCUCUCAUGAAUAAAUAAAAUAAAAUAAAAUAAAAUAAAAUAAAAUAAAAUAAUAAUAAUAUUGCCAGUUACAGAAUAUUUUAUAUGCACCAGAUUCUGUCCAGAGCACUUUAUAUAAUCUGGUGACUGUGGUGAUUGUCUCCUUGGAGGUCACUUUCCUCCUUAUUCCUUUUACUAGAGGACCAGAGGAUAGAGAAAGAUUGGCAAAGCCACCGAAGUUCCUCAUUCCCUUUGCCCACAGGUUUGUCUUCCCAGCAUCCCUUGCAGCUAGAGGAGCCAGGGCUGGAGGCCCUGGGGAAGUGGGCGGGAAGGCAAGGGGUGGUCAUGUGAUCCAGUUCGGGCCAGUGAGGCCUAAGGGGCAGUGCACGGGAUGCUGUCUUUAAAAAGAUGGGAAUGAAAACUUACUGUCCUGCGAGUUCUGCUCUUAGGGCAGCUGCAGCCACCUUGUGACCACAAGGUGAAAGAAAGGCAAGCGGAUUGUAGAGCCGUUGAGGUAAUCAGUUUGCCAUCAGCUACUUUGUACCACGACAGAUUUGAGAAGUGGGUAUCCUUUCUAUACCCAUGUUACAGAUGAAGAAACCAAGGCUCAGAGUGGGAAUAAGAGACUUGCCCCUGCGCACCCAAAAGGUAAGUGCUCUGAGCCAAGGGAAGAGCCUCAGGGGUGGAGCUUGAAGGAGGUUGGGGUAAGCUCCACGAUUCCGGGUAGAAAGACCUAUGGAUCUAGUUCCUUGGAGAUGCAGCUGGGGUCUGAGGAACUUUGGGGGCAGGCUGCAUGGGCUUCUCAGAGAAUGGUGAGGCAGGGAGGCCAACACAGGGGGGCGUCAUGCUCCCUUCCCAACGGGGUGUUUCCUUCAACGCUGGGUUAGGAAAAGUGGCCACAGAAGGGGCCUCCCAGCACGCAGGAAUCUGG
rnacentral:lncRNA from 12 species